GGCUCAGGAUGAACGCUGGCGGCGUGCCUAAUACAUGCAAGUCGAGCGGCAACGAGUUUUGCACCUAGUCUUCUGACCUACGGGUAGAAGACUGUGUGCAGAAUGUCGGCGAGCGGCGGACGGCAGAGUAACGCGUAGGAAUGUACCCCAAAGUGAGGGAUAACUGCUCGAAAGAGUAGCUAAUACCGCAUGUGGUCUUCGGAUUAAAGCCUUCGGGCGCUAUGGGAACAGCCUGCGUAAGAUUAGCUAGUUGGUGAGGUAAUGGCUCACCAAGGCGACGAUCUUUAGCUGGUCUGAGAGGAUGAUCAGCCUGACUGGAACUGAGACACGGUCCAGACUCCUACGGGAGGCAGCAGUAGGGAAUUUUCCACAAUGGGCGAAAGCCUGAUGGAGCAACGCCGCGUGCAGGAUGAAGGCUUUCGGGUCGUAAACUGCUUUUAUUUGUGACGAUUAUGACAGUAGCAAAUGAAUAAGGGUCGGCUAACUACGUGCCAGCAGCCGCGGUCAUACGUAGGACCCAAGCGUUAUCCGGAAUUACUGGGCGUAAAGAGUUGCGUAGGUGGCAAGUUAAGUGGAUAGUGAAAUCGUGUGGCUCAACCAUACACACAUUAUCUAAACUGGCUAGCUUGAGUGAGAUAGAGGUAACUGGAAUUCCAAGUGUAGGAGUGAAAUCCGUAGAUAUUUGGAGGAACACCGAUGGCGUAGGCAGGUUACUGGAUCUCAACUGACACUGAGGCACGAAAGCGUGGGGAGCAAACGGGAUUAGAUACCCCGGUAGUCCACGCCCUAAACUAUGGAUGCUAGCUGUUUGAGGUAUCGACCCCUUAAGUAGCGAAGCUAACGCGUUAAGCAUCCCGCCUGUGGAGUACGAGC
rnacentral:rRNA from 1 species